rnacentral:misc_RNA from 9 species
UAUGGAACCACCGUUGUGUGCUCCGUGCAUUACGUCGAAGGCAAAUACGCCCUCUAAUCGAUGUGUAACUUGCGCGCAUCGGUGGGGCUUGAUAAGACAAUCAAG